UACGUAGGGGGCUGGCGUUGUCCGGAAUCAUUGGGCGUAAAGCGCGUGUAGGCGGUUCGGUAAGUCCGCUGUGAAAGUCGGGGGCUCAACCCUCGAAUGCCGGUGGAUACUGUCGGACUAGAGUACGGAAGAGGCGAGUGGAAUUCCUGGUGUAGCGGUGAAAUGCGCAGAUAUCAGGAGGAACACCAAUUGCGAAGGCAGCUCGCUGGGACGUUACUGACGCUGAGACGCGAAAGCGUGGGGAGCAAACAGG
rnacentral:rRNA from 1 species